GAGGAACAUCUCUGUCCUGCAGGCAACUUUAAGGAGGAUUUGGUUAUGUGUUUCAAUAAGAGAUUUAAAAUUGCACUCAUCAGUUUUCAGAAAUAUCAUUCAUUUAGAUUGUCACAGCUCAGUAGCCCUGGCAUUUAAAGUAGAAAAGGGGAGGUUACAAGACAGAGAUUUUUCUUCCCUGGAUGGGAGGCAGGACAGAAGAGAGGAUUGAAGAACAAGUCAAGUUAUAGCAUCUCUGCUCAGGUGCCUAGCAGUCCCUCUCAGGCUUUGUGCUGCUCACUGGUUUGCACUCUGUCACCCACCCCCUGAAUGUGUAGCCUUGCAGGCAGACUUGACUGCCCAGACUGAGUCAACACAAUCUGUGAGAAUGAUUUCAUGCUGGCACAGUCUUAACCAGUAAAGAUGUCUAAAAUUCAUAUAAACCUUUACAGAGCUGCCAGUUAGAAAAAAGAAAUGUAA